rnacentral:lncRNA from 10 species
UCCUUGGUGUGUUCGGGCUCUUUGAUGUUUGUAGUGGGCACCGACCAGCUGCAAUUUCCAGUAACAACCAUCCCUGGAUUUCUCGCCGGGUGGCCCAGGUUCUGAGUGUUUCUGGAGCGGCCUAGCAUGACCAGCCCCCUGCACCAUCUUUCCAGCCCCACCAGAAGCCUCCAUGGCGCCAUCAGUAGGAGCCGAGGGCGCUCACAUGAGAGCCAGG